GGAUGUGGGAUUGCACAGACAACCAGGAUGUUGGCUUAGAAGCAGCCACUCAUUCAAAGAGUGCGUAAUAGCUCACUGGUCGAGUGAUCCUGCGCCGAAGAUUUCCGGGGCUAAAACUUACUACCGAAGCUACGGCAGCAGUAAUGAUGGGUAGGGGAGCUUCCCAUACGGGUUGAAGCAUGACCGUAAGGACAUGUGGACAGUAUGGGAGUGAGACUGUUCGGAUGAGUAGCGAGAAGUGGGUGAGAAUCCCACAUGCCGUAAACCCACGGUUUCCAGGGGAAGGUUCGUCCGCCC
rnacentral:rRNA from 1 species